AGAUUGAUCAUUAUUUCUACAUAGACAUUCCUUGGAAAUCUGAACAAAAUGAGUGAAAAAUCGCUAGCAUUUUGCUUAGAACUUUGUAACAU
rnacentral:snoRNA from 15 species